GUGUCGCUCAGUUGGUAGAGUGCUUGCCUGGCAUGCAAGAAACCUUGGUUCAAUCCCCAGCAC
rnacentral:tRNA from 1 species